UGGGGAAUAUUGCGCAAUGGGCGAAAGCCUGACGCAGCCACGCCGCGUGAGUGAUGAAGGCCUUCGGGUUGUAAAGCUCUGUCGGGAGGGACGAAAGGAGCAAUCCUUGACGGUACCUCGCAAGAAAGCACCGGCUAACUCUGUGCCAGCAGCCGCGGUAAUACAGAGGGUGCAAGCGUUGCUCGGAUUUACUGGGCGUAAAGCGUACGCAGACGGCCACGCAGGUCGGGUGUGAAAGCCCCGGGCUCAACCCGGGAAUUGCAUUCGAAACCAUGUGGCUCGAGUGUGGGAGAGGGUAGUGGAAUUCCUGGUGUAGAGGUGAAAUUCGUAGAUAUCAGGAGGAACACCGGCGGCGAAGGCGGCUACCUGGUCCACAACUGACGUUCAGGUACGAAAGCGUGGGGAGCAAACAGG
rnacentral:rRNA from 1 species